GNARUAAGGAUCAUUACCGAGUGAGGGCCCUCUGGGUCCAACCUCCCACCCGUGUUUAUUUUACCUUGUUGCUUCGGCGGGCCCGCCUUAACUGGCCGCCGGGGGGCUUACGCCCCCGGGCCCGCGCCCGCCGAAGACACCCUCGAACUCUGUCUGAAGAUUGUAGUCUGAGUGAAAAUAUAAAUUAUUUAAAACUUUCAACAACGGAUCUCUUGGUUCCGGCAUCGAUGAAGAACGCAGCGAAAUGCGAUACGUAAUGUGAAUUGCAAAUUCAGUGAAUCAUCGAGUCUUUGAACGCACAUUGCGCCCCCUGGUAUUCCGGGGGGCAUGCCUGUCCGAGCGUCAUUGCUGCCCUCAAGCACGGCUUGUGUGUUGGGCCCCGUCCUCCGAUCCCGGGGGACGGGCCCGAAAGGCAGCGGCGGCACCGCGUCCGGUCCUCGAGCGUAUGGGGCUUUGUCACCCGCUCUGUAGGCCCGGCCGGCGCUUGCCGAUCAACCCAAAUUUUUAUCCAGGUUGACCUCGGAUCAGGUAGGGAUACCCGCUGAACUUAA
rnacentral:rRNA from 1 species